rnacentral:rRNA from 1 species
CCUACGGGAGGCUGCAGUGAGGAAUAUUGGUCAAUGGGCGCGAGCCUGAACCAGCCAAGUCGCGUGAGGGAUGACGGUCCUACGGAUUGUAAACCUCUUUUGCCGGGGAGCAAGCGUGCGUUCGUGAACGCACGUCGAGAGUACCCGGAGAAAAAGCAUCGGCUAACUCCGUGCCAGCAGCCGCGGUAAUACGGAGGAUCCAAGCGUUAUCCGGAUUUAUUGGGUUUAAAGGGUGCGUAGGCGGAUUGAUAAGUUAGAGGUGAAAUGUCCGAGCUUAACUCGGGAACUGCCUCUAAUACUGUUGAUCUAGAGAGUAGAUGCGGUAGGCGGAAUGUAUGGUGUAGCGGUGAAAUGCUUAGAGAUCAUACAGAACACCGAUUGCGAAGGCAGCUUACCAAUCUAUAUCUGACGUUGAGGCACGAAAGCGUGGGGAGCAAACAGGAUUAGAUACCCCAGUAGUC